rnacentral:rRNA from 1 species
ACACAUGCAAGUCGAGCGGAUGAAGGGAGCUUGCUCCCGGAUUCAGCGGCGGACGGGUGAGUAAUGCCUAGGAAUCUGCCUGGUAGUGGGGGACAACGUUCCGAAAGGAGCGCUAAUACCGCAUACGUCCUACGGGAGAAAGUGGGGGAUCUUCGGACCUCACGCUAUCAGAUGAGCCUAGGUCGGAUUAGCUAGUAGGUGGGGUAAUGGCUCACCUAGGCGACGAUCCGUAACUGGUCUGAGAGGAUGAUCAGUCACACUGGAACUGAGACACGGUCCAGACUCCUACGGGAGGCAGCAGUGGGGAAUAUUGGACAAUGGGCGAAAGCCUGAUCCAGCCAUGCCGCGUGUGUGAAGAAGGUCUUCGGAUUGUAAAGCACUUUAAGUUGGGAGGAAGGGCAGUAAGUUAAUACCUUGCUGUUUUGACGUUACCAACAGAAUAAGCACCGGCUAACUUCGUGCCAGCAGCCGCGGUAAUACGAAGGGUGCAAGCGUUAAUCGGAAUUACUGGGCGUAAAGCGCGCGUAGGUGGUUUGGUAAGAUGGAUGUGAAAUCCCCGGGCUCAACCUGGGAACUGCAUCCAUAACUGCCUGACUAGAGUACGGUAGAGGGUGGUGGAAUUUCCUGUGUAGCGGUGAAAUGCGUAGAUAUAGGAAGGAACACCAGUGGCGAAGGCGACCACCUGGACUGAUACUGACACUGAGGUGCGAAAGCGUGGGGAGCAAACAGGAUUAGAUACCCUGGUAGUCCACGCCGUAAACGAUGUCGACUAGCCGUUGGGAUCCUUGAGAUCUUAGUGGCGCAGCUAACGCGAUAAGUCGACCGCCU